AGCUAGGACAGGGAAGCUGGCCGUCCUACAGCUGAAGCUGGGAUGACUUAUAGCUGUACCAGAUUUAUGAGGUGUUAGAAACAGCUUCUUUUAAGUGCUAAGGCUGGUCCUUUUCCUGGUCCUCUUUACUGCUUAGAGCUUUUCCCUAGAAAAAAGUUAUAGCUUCAGGAUGACUAUGGCCUGGAAAUCAGCAGUCAGUGACAUCUCCUUUAAUGGUCCUGGAAGUUUUAUAGAGCUGUCCAACUGAUCUGCUCUACAAGACUGUGUCUAAUCCUCUCUGUCAGAAGUGGGAGAGAGACUACAUUGCAUGACUUUCUUGGUCAGAACUCCCAGCUCAAAUACCUUGUGUAACUGCAGCACUGCAAUAAUACCUUCUAAGCCCAAGUCAUGGUGUGAGUUCAUUGGACAGAAACAAGUUGGAGGUAAAAGUUCUUCAGUGCAAAUCUCAUAUAUUGGUGUUAGAAAACAAGGAGGGAGUAUUUGAAAGAAAGGAGAAACAGCUUUCACUUUGCUGUCUUAAACUGAAAUGAGUUUUUGAUGGGCAUAAAACAAAAUUGA